UACGGAGGAUGCGAGCGUUAUCCGGAUUUAUUGGGUUUAAAGGGUGCGUAGGCGGAAUAUCAAGUCAGCGGUAAAAAUUCGGGGCUCAACCCCGUCGUGCCGUUGAAACUGAUGUUCUUGAGUGGGCGAGAAGUAUGCGGAAUUCCGUGUGUAGCGGUGAAAUGCGUAGAUAUACGGAGGAACACCAGUGGCGAAGGCGGCCUGCUGGACAUUAACUGACGCUGAGGCGCGAAAGCGUGGGGAGCAAACAGG
rnacentral:rRNA from 1 species